AGUGAACGCUGGCGGCAGGCCUAACACAUGCAAGUCGAGCGGCAGCGGGUCCCGCGAGGGGAGUGCCGGCGAGCGGCGGACGGGUGAGGAACACAUCGGAAUCUGCCUGGUUGUGGGGGAGUAACGUAGGGAAACUUACGCUAAUACCGCAUGCGACCCUGAGUCGACGGACUUGGGGUGAAAGUGAGGGACCUUCGGGCCGUCACGCGACCAGAUGAGCCGAUGUCGGA
rnacentral:rRNA from 1 species